CACACAGAGCCUGAGAGCCCACGGCGAUUUCCAGGUGGGAACCUGAGGCCAGGCUGAGUCUCGGACAUCGUCAACUUGGUCUGGUGGACGCAGCCGGGGGCAAGACUCAGGAGGAGCCGAGAUGAGGCUCCACCAAGUUUUGGGUCACACACUUCCCUUCUGGGAGCGAGAAUGUUCUGGGGCCAGAAGUUAGUUUACUUUGUUCUUACCGAGUAUGACUAUGGAAUGAGAAAGGACACCCUGUCCCGGAACUGUUUCUCGUGAGGACAGGAAGUCAUGUCUGCCACCAGUGUGGUUUGACACGGGGCUAGGAAAGGAUGUUGGUUUCAGAUUUCCCAGCCAAGACCCCUACACCCCGCGGGGGCUCUCACCACCCACCACCAAAGUCAAGCAAAAUCAAACUUCUUAGAAGAGCGAGGUCAAGGGUGGGGUGCUUUCAAUUAGACUUGUGAAAUCUGGUUUAAGGCACGACUUUCAAGGACAGCAUCUGACGGGGGUUGAGUGAAGUUGGUUACCAUCAGUGGCUGCGUCAAAGCACAGGCUUUGGAGGGGAGCUGUGAGGAUAAACGGCGCCCUGGACAACGCGCAGCGACCUAGUGCGCUCAGGCGGGGUCUCACCCCGACGGCGGCCAGCUGCUUGGCUAACUUAAAUUUCAUGCUUGGAUAAAUGGAUUUGGGGGAAGUUCCUGAAAUAAACAAUCAAGUUAUUUGCAACUUCCUCUUCCUAGACAAGAAUUUCCUGGCAUAGUAAAGGCAUGUGACUGCUGGGUCCCCAGAAGCUGGGUGACUCUCUGUGGUUUGUUUCGGUUCUCUGCUGAGUCGGUCACAUUCUGAGGUCAAAACCUGCCGCAUGUGGAGGAAAGCACCACUCCAUGGAGCUUGCUGGGAGACGUGCUCCAGCAGAACUGGCCGUCCCGAGUCUGCCCGCUGCCACACUCGUGCCCUGGCAACGAGGGGCACAGGCUAGUGUGACAUGUCACAGGGAGGCCUGGGGGUCUUGUCCUCUGCUCCAGUCAUGCUGUCUCAUCUAGAAGCCGUGGAGCUCCCGGCGGGCGGGGCCGGAGCGAUGAGGAGCCCAGGAGGGUCCAGCCCCGGGCAGCCUGCUUGCCAGCAUGGGGCACAGCCAGGAGCUGGGCCUUUCCAGGGGCUUGUCUCGUCGGCUCCUAGCCACAAGAAUCUCCCACCGGAAGGCAGCAAGGCCCGUUCGGGAGGUAGGGGGUCCUCGCGCAGGGGACCACUUCGAAUUAGGUCCGAGGCUCAUGCUUGAAAAUGAACACCAUUGUGAGUAAGAGCCAGAAUGCCACUAACUACAGGAGUCCUGGAAAACGAUGGACUUGGCCUCCAAUAUGGAUCUUCAAGACUUUGCGCUGUAUGGCCAUCGUGUGUGUGUGAGGGUGUUCUGCAUGCUAGUACUUCUGACCUGAUGGUGCUGUGCUCCAAGAAUGUGGUGUGACACGAGCCUGCGACCUCACUUGCUUCUUGCUGUAUGACCACAACCGUCUCACUGGCUUCGGGUGCCACUCGUGGACGUGGGAGGACGUGCGGGGACAGCGGCCCACGUCACAGGCUUGUUCACAUUUUCUGCAACAUCACAAACUGUUUCCUGCUUGACCUAAAUACUGUCAAGGGAAGUGGAGCUCUGUGGAUUGUUGCUUUAUAUAUUUUGAAAGUAUUUUAACAUUAUUUCUAACAUGUUGGUGUUUUGUGCCAAUGUCUAUUCUGCCCCAUAGUUCUCCAGUUCUCUGGGUAGCAGGUGCCCAGCUCUUUUUCCUCAUUCUCUCACACGUAACCUUCCACAGUCAUGUGUUAGGUGUGGUUUUAGUACGCUAUGACAAUCUCUCACAGUGUCCCCAUCUGAAGUCCCCUCAGAGGUGACAUCUGUCGGGCCUCCCUCGUCCACACCUGGCCCAUUUCCCAUCCUCCUACGCGUGCCACUGCAGUUCUGAUUAGAGAUGUGCAAAUGAAGAAUGUGUUUUCAAAGCUUCACGCCCACUAGAGUGGCCAUGAUCAAAAGCAACAACAAAAGCUGGCUGGCGGCCAGGCGAAACGCGCUGUACCUGUGCGCCGCAGGGUGCCGGCUUCUCGCACAGUCACACGUGGAAUCAGCUUAUGGCCCAGUGUUUCCACCGCCAGCUGUGCACCCAGGACAAACGAAAGCAUCUGUGAACGUGGUAGCCUAACUCAUAAGGACCAAAAGGUGGAAAUGGUGUCAACCGAUGAAUGUGUCUGUGCACACGACGGAAUAGUCUACAGCCAUUACCAGGAAGAGAUACACGCUACACAAUACAUGACCCGUGCACACCCACAAAAACACAUAUUGAGUGAUUCCAUUGUUCUGACACGCCUACAACACCCAAGUCCACGGAGGCAGAGCUCCGUGGACGAGUGGCUGUCAGGGGCUGCAGGGGGAGAGAGACUGAGGGGUGACUGCUCACGGGUCCAGGACUCUUUUCGAGAUGAUGGAAAUGUUGUGCAACGACACAGUGGUGACGUACGGUUGCACGGCCCCGUGAAUAUACCAAAGCCCAGUGAAUUGUACCCAUGAAAAGAAUAAACGGCAUGGGAUGUGA